UACGGGGGGAGCAAGCGUUGUUCGGAUUUACUGGGCGUAAAGGGCGCGUAGGCGGCGUGACAAGUCACUUGUGAAAUCUCCGGGCUUAACUCGGAACGGUCAAGUGAUACUGUCGUGCUAGAGUACAGAAGGGGCAACUGGAAUUCUCGGUGUAGCGGUGAAAUGCGUAGAUAUCGUCAAGAACACCUAUAGCGAAGGCAGCUUACUAGGCUGUAACUGACGCUGAGGCACGAAAGUGUGGGGAUCAAACAGG
rnacentral:rRNA from 1 species